UUAAAAGCUACCCUAAAAAAUAUGUUUUGAGUUGAGAUUUAAAAGUGCCAAGAGAUGUUGCUUGCCUUAUCUCAGUUGGUAAAGAAUUCCACAGUUUUGGAGCUAGAGAAGAGAAGGCCCUAUCUCCCAUCGAUUUUAAACGAGUUGAGGGAACAGUUAAAAGACCAGUUUCAGAAGAACGAAGGUUGUGAGAUGGAAUAUAAGGAAUUAAAAGAUCAGCCAAAUAUUAAGGAGCUAACCCAUGUAAGGCCUUGUAGCGUAACGUCUUUCUCGGAGUCAGAAAAUCUUUGAACGAACGACUGCACAGCAUUCCCAAACCAAUGGGGCGAAAGGAACGGAAGAAGCAGACAAAACAUUUUUAAUCCUGGAAUGGCAUGAUUGCAUGAUUUUCUUCUGAUGCUUUGAGGCUUAAGAAAGAAAUCUACACUCAAAAUACAUCUGCUUGCUCUUUUGUAUCAAGUGAGAAGCCACGUCUCUGCUUUUGGACGCCGCCAUGUUUAGCCUCCACAGUUCCCAA